CCAGACUCCUACGGGAGGCAGCAGUGGGGAAUAUUGGGCAAUGGGCGCAAGCCUGACCCAGCAACGCCGCGUGAAGGAAGAAGGCUUUCGGGUUGUAAACUUCUUUUCUCAGGGACGAAGAAAGUGACGGUACCUGAGGAAUAAGCCACGGCUAACUACGUGCCAGCAGCCGCGGUAAUACGUAGGUGGCAAGCGUUAUCCGGAUUUAUUGGGUGUAAAGGGCGUGUAGGCGGGAGCGCAAGUCAGAUGUGAAAACUCAGGGCUCAACCCUGAGCCUGCAUUUGAAUCUGUGUUUCUUGAGUGCUGGAGAGGCAAUCGGAAUUCCGUGUGUAGCGGUGAAAUGCGUAGAUAUACGGAGGAACACCAGUGGCGAAGGCGGAUUGCUGGACGAUGACUGACGUUGAGGCUCGAAAGCGUGGGGAGCAAACAGGAUUAGAUACCCGGGUAAA
rnacentral:rRNA from 1 species